UGUUAUCUUUGGAUUGCCGCGGG
rnacentral:siRNA from 1 species